CGAAAGUGUAGCCUAUGAAGGGCAUGAGAGCACCGAUGGCGAUGACGGGAGGAUUCAGCACGGUGAAUAUGGCGCCUCCGAUUUCAGUGCAGGUGUUCGUUUGGGCAACUGGCGACACCUGAAGGCCUACAGGGUUGCCAGGUUAUUGAAGUCCGAACUGCAGCUGCAGCAAUCUCUCUCUCUCUCUCUCCCUCCUUUGACUGCUUGCUGCUUUCUGUUUUCUGUUUCUCCCUUCAGGCGCCCGUUCUGGUUUCAUUUAGUUAUGCUGCCUUAGUUAUUUACUUUGCUUUGAUGCAUCUUCCAACACACACACACACACACACACACACACACACACACACACACACACACACACACACACUCGCCACUCAUGCAUCACAUACACCACUGAUACCACUGAUUUCCACUCUCCAUAUUUUGUUCAUUAUUUAAUUUGGCUUAAUUUGUUUAAUAAAUGUAUCUUUUGUUAUCUCUUUA